ACAAAAAAACCAAAUUGCAUCGAUUCAUCCCAUCAAUUAUCUCCAAGCUUGAAUCCUAUAUCAAAUUAUUAGUUUAAUUUCAAAAAGAAAACCCAAGAAGCCUCAUCUUUUGGUUGUAUAUGGGUGGGUUUUGCUGUUGAAUUUUCCAAUAAGAAUCAGAUAUACAAAUCAUUUUCCAUGCUCAAUUUGCAAUUUUGGGGUAGAAGUUGUAGAUAAAUUGCUUAGUGCAUUUGCUUUAUAAGGGACAAUGACGUAUCACAUAUCUUGGCAAAAUAACGAGGACUA